rnacentral:siRNA from 1 species
UAUACGAAACAGAUUCAGCACGGC